GAUUAACGCUGGCGGCGUGCAUAACACAUUCAAGUCGAACGAAGCAGCAAUGCUUAGUGGCGGACGGGUGAGUAACGCGUGAGCAAUCUACCUCCCAGUACGGAAUAACAACCGGAAACAGUUGCUAAUACCGUAUGAAAUAGCAGUACCGCAUGGUACAACUAUCAAAGAUAUAUUGCUGGGAGAUGAGCUUGCGUCCGAUUAGCUAGAUGGCGGGGUAACGGCCCACCAUGGCGACGAUCGGUAGCCGGACUGAGAGGUUGAACGGCCACAUUGGAACUGAGAUACGGUCCAGACUCCUACGGGAGGCAGCGGUGGGGAAUAUUGGGCAAUGGGCGAAAGCCUGACCCAGCGACGCCGCGUGAGGGAAGAAGAUCUUCGGAUUGUAAACCUUAGUCAACAGGGAAGAAGCAAGUGACGGUACCUGUGGAGGAAGCCACGGCUAACUACGUGCCAGCCGCCGCCGUAAAAC
rnacentral:rRNA from 1 species